GCUUUACCAGCAAAAGAUGCAGUUAGUUUUGUAAACUAAAAGAAGAAGUUUAAAUCUUCAAUAAAGCU
rnacentral:tRNA from 1 species